UGCCACUACAGGAUAGUCUUUCAAGAAAAAUGAUCAAGAAGGGAAGCCAAAAGUGGCUACAUUGAGACACAGAUUAUGCUUCCAUCACAGCAAGUUUAUUGCAGUGGUGACAAUGAGGGCUGUAACAUUU
ensembl:snoRNA